AACGCACCUUGCGCUCCUUGGUAUUCCGAGGAGCAUGCCUGUUUGAGUGUCAUUGAAUUUCUCAACCAUGCCUUGAUUGACUUUGAGUGCAUGGCUUGGAUAGAUGGGGGCUGCUGGCGGCGUGAGCUGUCGGCUCUCCUGAAAUGCAUUAGCAAAGGUGAAGCACUCUCGUGCAUGGCCUUCGACGUGAUAAUGAUCGUCGUGGCUGGAGCGAGGUGCAGGAAAUCAUCCUUGCUUCCAACACUGAACGAACUUCCUGCAUCGCCAGGAAUUCGAUUUUUGAAACUUGACCUCAAAUCAGGUAGGACUACCCGCUGAACUUAA
rnacentral:misc_RNA from 1 species